UACGAAGGGGGCUAGCGUUGCUCGGAAUCACUGGGCGUAAAGCGCACGUAGGCGGCUUGUUAAGUCAGGGGUGAAAUCCUGGAGCUCAACUCCAGAACUGCCUUUGAUACUGGCGAGCUUGAGUUCGGGAGAGGUGAGUGGAACUGCGAGUGUAGAGGUGAAAUUCGUAGAUAUUCGCAAGAACACCAGUGGCGAAGGCGGCUCACUGGCCCGAUACUGACGCUGAGGCACGAAAGCUAGGGGAGCAAACAGG
rnacentral:rRNA from 1 species